UGGGACCUGGGAUGAUUUCCUUCAACAUUUAGUCAGACUGAUUUUCUGGGGCCAAGCCUCUCGAUCUACUAAACUUGGACAGAUUAUUUUAUUCUUCCUGGCUUCAAAAAUCUUCUUUUAGUUAAAGCCAGAAGGAUAUGGAAUUAAUGGCAAUCCUAUUAUUUUAUUAAUGAGGAAACUGAAUGCCCAGUUGGAAAUUACUUCCUUUUAGGCUUCAGGAAAUUGCUGAAGGACACAUAAAUACUAAAUAGCAGAGGCACCUUAUACUCUUGAGAGGACAGUGCCAAGAUAAGAGUGUAUGCUUGGAACAAUGCCAGGAAUAUGCCAUUGUGACAAGGCAUCACUAAUCAUCAGGUCCUUUUGCCAGGAGCUCCCAUGUCAUGGACACUUGUCUCUGUAUAUAAAAGGAUGGGUGGGAUGCUUUGAACUAAUGGACCUGGGGUUGGGGAAGGGGGCAGCAGACAGAGGCUGCUAUUGCAACAAGAUCCCUGCUGCUGGCCAGAACUGGGAAAUGUAAGAAGAUGGUGCAGUCCUGUAGACAUAAGUGUUCAGCAUGCCAUCUGAAGGAUUUACAACAGAGACAGAAGGCAAAGAAGUUAUGGCAGAAAAAGAACAGGAAGACAAGUCAGCAGCAUACACCAAUGAUCUGUUUGAAGACACUGCUUGAAUCCAUGAUUUUCCAUGUCACAUUUUUCCCCAUGGCUAGCAGUAAGAAAAGCCUCUUGUGGUGCAGGCCCAAGACCACCAUAAUCAUCAUUGAUUUUCCCUCUCUGCCCAGUGUCUUUAAGUAAAAUUUCUCUCCUUUCACUGACAAA